rnacentral:rRNA from 1 species
GACGAACCACCCAAACGUUAUUCGGAAUUACUGGGCUUAAAGGGUGCGUAGGCGGCGCGGAAAGUUGGGUGUGAAAUCCCUCGGCUCAACCGAGGAACUGCGCUCAAAACUGCCGCGCUCGAGGAAGACAGAGGUAAGCGGAACUUCGGGUGGAGCGGUGAAAUGCGUUGAUAUCCGAAGGAACACCGGUGGCGAAAGCGGCUUACUGGGUCUUUUCUGACGCUGAUGCACGAAAGCCAGGGGAGCAAACGGG